rnacentral:rRNA from 1 species
GAUGAACGCUGGCGGCGUGCCUAAUACAUGCAAGUCGAGCGAACGGACGAGAAGCUUGCUUCUCUGAUGUUAGCGGCGGACGGGUGAGUAACACGUGGAUAACCUACCUAUAAGACUGGGAUAACUUCGGGAAACCGGAACUAAUACCGGAUGAUAUUUUGAACCGCAUGGUUCAAAAGUGAAAGACGGUCUUGCUGUCACUUAUAGAUGGAUCCGCGCUGCAUUAGCUAGUUGGUAAGGUAACGGCUUACCAAGGCAACGAUGCAUAGCCGACCUGAGAGGGUGAUCGGCCACACUGGAACUGAGACACGGUCCAGACUCCUACGGGAGGCCGCAGUAGGGAAUCUUCCGCAAUGGGCGAAUGCCUGACGGAGCAACGCCGCGUGAGUGAUGAAGGUCUUCGGAUCGUAAAACUCUGUUAUUAGGGAAGAACAUAUGUGUAAGUAACUGUGCACAUCUUGACGGUACCUAAUCAGAAAGCCACGGCUAACUACGUG